GUACAGCUGGGAGCUCCUGCUCGUGUUGGACUUGUAGCACCAAUUGAUGUUAUUGUUGGCCUGAUAUUUACAAAGGGAGAUCUCAAGGAAGUCAGUGAAGAGGUUGCCAAGUACAAGCCGGCUCAAAGUAAUUAUUAUGGAGGGUGAAUCUACGAGUUGUCGUCAUUUGAAUUUUAACGAAAAUGAAGCUAGUCGGGAAGGGGACUUUGAUGUUAUUGAUGAAGGCUUAAACAUUGAAACAGAUUUUGAUAUACCACAAAUGGGG